rnacentral:rRNA from 1 species
UCGCACGAGAAAGGGAGCAAUCCUAAGUAAAGUGGCGCACGGGUGAGUAACACGUGGAUCAUCUACCUUUUAGUGGGGAAUACCUCUGGGAAACCGGAGACAAUACCGCAUAAGCCUGUAAAGGGAAAGCAGCAAUGCGCUGAAAGAGGAGUCCGCGGCCGAUUAGCUAGUUGGCGGGGUAAUGGCCCACCAAGGCGAAGAUCGGUAGCCGGCCUGAGAGGGCACACGGCCACACUGGCACUGAAACACGGGCCAGACUCCUACGGGAGGCAGCAGUGGGGAAUCUUGCACAAUGGGCGAAAGCCUGAUGCAGCGACGCCGCGUGAGCGAUGAAGCCCUUCGGGGUGUAAAGCUCUUUCGACGGGAACGAUAAUGACGGUACCCGGAGAAGAAGCUGCGGCUAACUACGUGCCAGCAGCCGCGGUAAUACGUGGGCAGCGAGCGUUGUUCGGAAUUACUGGGCGUAAAGAGUGUGUAGGCGGUGCUCCCAGUCUGUUGUGAAAUCUCCCGGCUUAACUGGGAGGGUGCAGCGGAAACUAGAGUGCUAGAGGGUGGGAGAGGUAAGCGGAAUUCCUGGUGUAGCGGUGAAAUGCGUAGAUAUCAGGAGGAACACCUGUGGUGUAGACAGCUUACUGGACCACUUCUGACGCUGAGACACGAAAGCGUGGGUAGCAAACAGGAUUAGAUACCCUGGUAGUCCACGCCCUAAACGAUGCAUACUUGGUGUGAGCGAUUCAUUUCGUUCGUGCCGGAGCUAACGCGUUAAGUAUGCC